CAUUAACAGAAGCUUUGUGAGAAAGGACAAGCAAGUUCUAGUUAUGCCAUUUUACAGUGUGGGACCAGACUUUCAGAGAGGAGUCCCAGCAUGUGAAUUGGACAUGGUCAUUCAGUCGGAGGGAGGACAGCUGUGGAUGCUGGAUCUUCAGGGCACUGAAGAGGGGAGUGAGCGAAAAUACCUGUCUGGUGCUGCUGGAGUUUGCGCCCAAA